rnacentral:rRNA from 1 species
UACAGAGGUCUCAAGCGUUGUUCGGAUUCAUUGGGCGUAAAGGGUGCGUAGGCGGCGCGGUAAGUCGGGUGUGAAAUCUCGGAGCUUAACUCCGAAACUGCAUUCGAUACUGCCGUGCUUGAGGACUGGAGAGGAGACUGGAAUUUACGGUGUAGCGGUGAAAUGCGUAGAUAUCGUAAGGAAGACCAGUGGCGAAGGCGGGUCUCUGGACAGUUCCUGACGCUGAUGCACGAAGGCCAGGGGGAGCAAACAGG